CAUGGAAAGGCCUUGUAGAAAGGGAGAGAUCUUGAAUCUACACGGAGAGGGAAAGUUCCAGCUGUCCAUGCUUGUCAGCUGAAGCCAGCCUUCCUGCUACCCCUGCCAGAGUGCCACAGAGACUCUGGCAGAUUCAUCUGGACCACCAUGUGUAAGAUCUGCAGACUGGCCAGAAAGACCGCAUGGGGAAGCAAGGGCCUGGAGCUGUGAGAUGGGGAGAGCAGGCAAAGAGAAGAGG